rnacentral:rRNA from 1 species
UACGAAGGGGGCUAGCGUUGUUCGGAAUUACUGGGCGUAAAGCGUGCGCAGGCGGUUUUGUAAGCCAGAUGUGAAAGCCCCGGGCUCAACCUGGGAAUGGCAUUUGGGACUGCAAGGCUUGAGUGCGGCAGAGGAGACUAGAAUUCCUGGUGUAGCAGUGAAAUGCGCAGAUAUCAGGAGGAACACCGGUGGCGAAGGCGGGUCUCUGGGCCGAUGACUGACGCUGAGGAGCGAAAGCGUGGGGAGCGAACAGG